rnacentral:rRNA from 1 species
GGAUCCAGACUUUGAUCCUGGCUCAGGAUGAACGCUGGCGGCAUGCCUAAGACAUGCAAGUCGAACGAGAUGGCCCAGUGAAGGUUGAGUGCUUGCACGAGACUGAAUCUGGAUUCCCAUCUAGUGGCAGACGGGUGAGUAACACGUGGGUGACCUACCUUUUCGUUGGGGAUAACAGUUGGAAACGAUUGCUAAUACCGAAUAAAAUGUAAGAGUCAAUUUUACAUUGAAAGGAGCCUUUAAAGCUUCGCGAUUAGAUGGGCCUGCGGCGUAUUAACUAGUUGGUGAGGUAAUGGCUUACCAAGGUGACGAUGCGUAGCCGAACUGAGAGGUUGAUCGGCCACAUUGGGACUGAGACACGGCCCAAACUCCUACGGGAGACAGCAGUUAGGAAUAUUCGUCAAUGGAGGAAACUCUGAACGAGCAAUGCCGCGUGAGUGAUGAAGGUCUUAUAGAUUGUAAAACUCUGUUGUAUGGAAAAAACGGCUAGGUUAGGAAAUGAACUUAGUGUGAUGGUACCAUACCAGAAAGCCCCGGCUAACUACGUGCCAGCAGCCGCGGUAAUACGUAGGGGGCGAGCGUUAUCCGGAUUUAUUGGGCGUAAAGCGUGUGUAGGCGGUUUAUUAAGUUUAAGAUUAAAGCCCGGGGCUCAACUCCGGUAAGUCUUAAAAACUGGUAGACUUGAGUACGGUAGAGGCAAACGGAAUUUCUAGUGUAGCGGUGAAAUGCGUAGAUAUUAGAAGGAACACCAGUGGCGAAAGCGGUUUGCUGGGCCGUUACUGACGCUGAGGCACGAAAGCGUGGGGAGCAAAUAGGAUUAGAUACCCUAGUAGUCCACGCCGUAAACGAUGAGUACUAAGUGUUGGGGUUACCCAGUGCUGAAGCUAACGUAUUAAGUACUCCGCCUGAGUAGUACGGUCGCAAGGCUGCAACUCAAAUGAAUUGACGG